GGAGGUAGUGACAAUAAAUCUCAAUACGAAGCCUUUGGUUUUGUAAUUGAAUUGAGAACAAUGUACAAUCGUUAUCGAUAAACAAUUGGAGGGCAAGUCUGGUGCCAGCAGCCGCGGUAAUUCCAGCUCCAAUAGCGUAUAUUAACGUUGUUGCAGUUAAAAAGCUCGUAGUUGAAGUUUAGAUAAUUUGUUGAGAGUGUUAGUAUUCGUACUAUCUACUCUCUGCAGAUUAUCGACUUCCAGGUAAGCUCAAUAAUCCCUCCGGGGACUAUUAAGCCAGACUGGUCUUUUACUGUGAGAAAAUUAGAGUGUUUAAAGCAGACUUUUUUUUGAGUUUGAAUAGAUUAGCAUGGAAUAAUAAGAUUGGCUUUCAUAGUCGAUUUUUUGGUUUGUUUAUGAAAGCAAGAUUAAUAGGGACAGUUGGGGGUAUUCAUAUUCAAUAGCUAGAGGUGAAAUUCUAUGAUUUAUGGAAGAUGAACAAGUGCGAAAGCA
rnacentral:rRNA from 1 species